rnacentral:lncRNA from 1 species
AAAGCUAAAGGGGCUGGCACCGCAGCAGGGGUGCGGAGAGGGACUGGGGGCGGGUGAGUACUGCUCCCGCAGCUCUGCUGGCCCUCUCUCUGCCCCGAGCUGUGCCUGGACAAUCCUCCUCGUCCUCCCGGCCCCCGCUCGCCAAUGCUGUGGCCUGCACCUGCAUCGCUCUCUGGGAACCUCGGAGACCUCAACUCCUUCGUACUGGUCUUACCCCUUCGUACUGGUCGGGGUUUACUGCAGGUCCACCUCCCCUAGGCCAUGGCCAGGUGGGGGAAGGUCACUCCAGGACGCUAGUGACUCUGCCCAGCUCUGCUCCGCCUCUCUGCUUAUGCACCUGCCGCCCCCUCGCACUCUCUGCCACUGCGGUUGCAGUUCCGGCCCGUCCCUCUUCUGCAGGCCAGCCCAGCGGGCAGCCUCGGUUCCUGACUCCUGGUCUGUGCUUGUGGGCGGCCUGAACCACCUCAAUCCGGACAAUUGCCAAACCCACCCUGGGCUGUAGCUGGGAACCGGUUGUGGCUCCUGCCAGUCUAGACCCCGGGGAACAAUUUAUGCACGUGACCCAGCCACCUAAGACUCUCCUGGCCCAGGUCUGUGGCUGGUAUUCCCAUUGGCUUACUGUUCUGUCUCACUGGGGGCACCCCUACCCUAUACUGUAGAAUUCUUGGAAUGACAGAGCACUUGGGAAGACCCAGCUCACAUGUCAAGAUGUCGCAGAGCACUGUGUUGGACAUGACCAUUCUUUCCAUCCUUGUUGGCUGAAAAUCCGCCCUUAUUUUCAUCCACCGAGCCCCUGAACAGCUUUCCACACAGCUCUUAUGGUGAUGACACAGCAGAAAACAUGGCGAGGCUUCUGCAGUGGCUGCAGAAAAGCCUGUCCCUGGAGCGACCUGGCCGGUCGCGCAAAGAGCUAGCUUCUUAUCAAAGACCUUCCCAACACAGAGAUGGGUUCCCAAGACACCCUGCCAUUUUCAAGGUCAAUCUUGCAGGCCCAAGGACAAAACCGAAGGGAUGCAAAAAUGAGCUUUUUCUCAUUAAUCCCACUUGCAAGACUGAAGAAAACCUUAAAAUACCCAAAAUUCAGGGGAGACAUAGCAACUGAGUCUCAUGGAGUCCACAGGGGCUGCCGACCCACUGUGUCAAGGACAACUGUGAGAGCAGCUUGUUGAGAAAGAAGUCACUCUGCUUUGCCCCUGCAGCGUUUAUUUUGGAAAAAACCCAAGUUUGUGGUUGGGCCUAUAUGGUGGAGGUGGCCGCAACCAAGAGAAAACGAUAUAUAGAGAAUGGUGUUGGCUUUGUUCUGGCAAAACAGAGAUUCAGACAAAGGCCAGAAGAUAAUGGUGGUGCUCCUGAAUAGAGGUCCCCUGGUUCAAACGUCCAUCUACUGGAACAAGGUCAAUGAUCCUCCAGGGACUCUCAACUCCCUAUCUACGCACUCUCUACAGCAAAACAUCCUGUGCUUGGGAAAGUCUGAGCUGAACCCAGCUCCUGUGGCUUCUGCUCAAUCUUAGUUCCUUGUUUGCAAGAAUGAGAGGCAAACAGCAAGCCUUGUGCAUCUUUGUAUAGAUAGAAAACAACCCUCCCAACCCCCCAUUUUACAGUAUUUGGGUUUGGCUUUUUUUCUCUUUCUUUUCUCUUCUCUUUCUUCUCUUCUCUUCUCUUCUCUUCUCUUCUCUUCUCUUCUCUUCUCUUCUCUUCUCUUCUCUUCUCCUCUCCUCUCCUCUCCUCUCCUCUCCUCUCCUCUCUUCCUCUUCCUCUUCCUCUUCCUCUUCCUCUUCCUCUUCCUCUUCCUCUUCCUCUUCCUCUUCCUCUUCCUCUUCCUCUCCUCUCCCUCUCCUCUCCCUCUCCUCUCUGUGGGAAGCCAACUCCAAGAUGGCGCCGGUUUCCGGUUGCCGUUGUCAUAAACAACACCACUGCGCAGGCGUCAAUUCGAAUUUGGGGCCAACCCCUCCCAAGCGGGUGCAUGCAAAUUGGGUGCUGGCAGACUGACCAACCCCAGGGGGCCACGGAGCCUUCUCCUGUGCUGGGGUACAUAUAAGCAGGGCUCCCUGGGCGCCUGGGGUCCCCGUAGAAGCAUCAAGGCGAUCCUGCAAUAAAGGCUGUUGAGAAGAA